rnacentral:rRNA from 1 species
CGGCAGGCCUAACACAUGCAAGUCGAGGGGUAACAUAGAAAAGCUUGCUUUUCUGAUGACGACCGGCGCACGGGUGCGUAACGCGUAUGCAACCUACCCUAUACUGAGGGAUAGCCCGAAGAAAUUCGGAUUAAUACCUCAUAGUAAUUAUUAAUCGCAUGAUUUUAUAAUUUAAAGGUUACGGUAUAGGAUGGGCAUGCGUCCCAUUAGCUUGAUGGUAAGGUAACGGCUUACCAUGGCAACGAUGGGUAGGGGGCCUGAGAGGGUGAUCCCCCACACUGGUACUGAGACACGGACCAGACUCCUACGGGAGGCAGCAGUGAGGAAUAUUGGUCAAUGGAGGCAACUCUGAACCAGCCAUGCCGCGUGCAGGAAGAAUGCCCUAUGGGUUGUAAACUGCUUUUAUUUGGGAAUAAACCUUUCUACGUGUAGAAAGCUGAAGGUACCAAACGAAUAAGCACCGG